GGGCAGUAUUAGCAUGUAAAAGGCUGUGCCCGCCCACUCGCCCCAGACACACAAGAUUGUCAUGAGAGCUGAAAGGGGCUGAAAUUAUUCUCCCUGAAGGAGGAAAAAAAAAAAAAAAUACUGCAGCUCCCGAUUUGGUAAAAAGCCAAUGGCUUGCUGCAAUCCAGAGUCACCGUGGGGAGCGCUGGCCGGGCGAGUGGGGUGGGAGGGAGGGGCCGGGAGAGGGAGGGAGCGCCGGACUCGCCAGCCUAGCCGGGCCGGGUAGCCUGCGAGCUCCUGGCCACCGAGGAGUCCCUGGGGUCCGUGCGGGGGUGCUCCCGGCGCUGAUGUGACAUGGAGACUACACUCAGCCCACGUUGCCGCUGCUGCCCUAGGCAAUUUUUAAGAAGAGGUGGUUCAUGUUAGAAGGGACAAGAGGGUACUGGACACCAGGAGUCGUGGUGACUAUCUGACUUUGAACACGCUAUUCAGCCUCUCUGAACCCCAAUUCCCUCGUCUAUUAAGAUGAAAUGGGUGUACUAGAACGUCUGUAAGUUUGUUUCCAGUGCUGAAUGAAGUUCUCUGAGUGGUCUUACAAAUACAGCAUCUUAAGAAUGUGAAGGAAAUUUGAGAAGUCAUUUUAUUCAGUCGCCUGUCUUUGGAAAAUAAACUCUCCUAUAGUGCUUACUAUUUAACAUGCUCUACUAUAGUGUUUGCUGUGGGCAGUGUUUUAAAUUCAGCAAGGUGCCAGAGCCAGAUUCUGCUCUUGAGAGCCAAUUCUGUGUACCUGUGUUCACCUCUCCAUGCGAUGAUACCAUGUUGGUAGGUUGGAAUCCACUGUGGAGGAAGUGGUUACAAUAUACAAGUUGAAAAACACUGCAUGUCAAGAUUAUUUUCUGCUUCCGAGAAACAUCUACCAGCACAGCACCAGUUUCAGUACUUUAUGAACAUUAACUUAUUUAAUUCUCACAACCACUCAGUCUUAUAAAAAAAGGAAACCGAAUCAGAGAAACUAAGUAAUUUGACCAAGCUAACAAAGCUGGCAUACUAGUAACCUAAAUGAACCAACUAACAAAAAGUCUUGAUGGCCUUCCACUACAAAUAUUUAUUUCUUCUUCGUGCUAGACAUCCUUCAUAGUGGGACUAUGACUCUAAUCCAUGUUGUUCCACAAACAGAACAGCAGCUUCCAUCAGGAACAUGAUGUUCUCACGGCACACCUGCAGCACAUAGACGUUCCCGGGCUAUUGGAGCUGCAGCUGCCGGCCUACGCCACCACCAUGGCAACACCAGAUCCAAGCCACAUCUGCGACCUGCGCUGCAGCUUGUAACAAUGUCGAAUCCUUAACCCAACUAGGGAGGGCAGGGAUCAAACUCCCAUCCUCACAGAGACAAUGCUGGGUUCUAAAGCCUCAGAGCCACAAGAACUCCAAAAUGUUUCCUCGUUCACAUUAGCCACGGCAUGUCACAUGGCCAAAACCCUAUGAGCCAGUCUGAUGGGGGAGGGUAAGCCUCUCACGGGGAGGAAGGAGAGAACAUUUGGGAACAGUAAUUUAAAAGAUAACAGCUUAGCUGGGUGAUAGAAUGGGAAUUUGAACCCGAGAAAUCUGCCAUAUUCUAAAAGCAGGCCAUUCUGCCUGUUACAGCUCACACACCUCUAUUUCUCACCUAUUUUCCAUAAUAGGGUUUGCUAUUUAGUAACUCUUUAAGGGAAUUCUUCCCUGUGACUCCUAAAAAGAAAAUAAUGUUGAUUUAGAAAACACAAGAACUUCGGAGUGAAUCUGACAUACUUGGUUUUGCCACUAAUAACUCUGCAAUUUCAACCCUUAUACUCCUUUCCCUCUACUCCCUUUCACUGAGAAGCAAAGACCACUUAUUUCCCUUAACCUUAUUACAGAUGUUUUCAUGUGAUUAAUUCAUCAAUAAAUUUGUAACACAAACAAUGUUUUUUUUAGCAUUGAGCUUCCUGACAUAUGUAAGGCAGAGAGGCAUAUGAAUAUAUCUUUCUGCCAUCAAUGAGUUUAUAAACUUCUUGGAGAGACUGUCAUGAAAUAAAAACUAACAGUAACUCUUUUGAAGAUUCAGAAAGCAUAUGCAAUUAAGUACUAAUAAAUGGACUUUAAAUCCAUAAGAAUGCUUGACUAACCUAGUUAAUGUCCCUGAACUAUCAUUUCCUGCUCUGUAAAAUGGUGAUAACAUUACAGUAUUGCUAUAAAGCUUCAAUGAGAUAAUGUAUUUCAAAAUAUCUGUCACUCUUCUCUAGUUUGUGCUGAAUGCUCGGUA